UGCGUAGGUGGUUAGGCAAGUCAGAUGUGAAAUCCCACAGCUCAACUGUGGAACUGCGUUUGAAACUGCUUAGCUUGAGUAUAUGAGAGGAAAGGGGAAUUCUAGGUGUAAGAGUGAAAUCUGUAGAUAUCUAGAGGAACACCAGCGGCGAAGGCGCCUUUCUGGCAUAUUACUGACACUGAGGCACGAAAGCGUGGGGAGCAAACAGGAUUAGAUACCCUGGUAGUCC
rnacentral:rRNA from 1 species